UUUAGCUACACUUUGAGUGUCACUAAUUAUCACUGAAAAGAAUGUGGCAUAUACCUGCUCUCAUUGGCGGUAGAUAGAGGAUUUAAGAAAAUAAAUUUACUUCACCCUUGUUUCUUUUUCAUUUAACUUCUCAUUCUUGUUUCUUUUUCAUUUAAUUUCUCAUUUCUCUCAAAUCAAAAUCUGUGUGCUUUUUAGUUUUACCCAAAUUAAAAUCUCUUCUACUUCUACCAUUUUUUCAUUCCUAUCAUAGAAUCCCAAGCUAAUCCCAAUCAAACCCUAAUUGAGCAAUAGAACCCUAGCUAUGUCGAUUAGAAAAUUCCAGUGAGCUUGCAUGCGGUAGUAUGAAUAGUGGAGCUCACGAAGCAGCACUUGAUUCAUGGAUAGUGCAAUCACCGGAAGCAGAAGCGAACACAUCGGCGUGACGAGGGUUCCAAACGGAGGAAUAAACACAGUAAGCGUGUUCUUUGAAAGUGCGAACGGAAGUGGGACGAUCAAGAGUUCAUAAUUUGACGGUGUUGAGCGGCGGCGACGGCUAUUCGGUUUUCGUAUAAUGGAUUGAACUUGACGGAGUAACAGUUGAAUGGGGUUUUGAAAGCCGACAUCAUUUUGAGAAUCGGAGUUUGGUUAGGUUAAAGAGUGAGUGUUAGGUGUUUGAUGUUAUGCGCCUGAGGUUGGUUCUCUUUGAUUCUUCAUAUGUUUGUCAUAAGGUGUUUAAGGAUUGAUAUAUAGUGGCAGCUAUGCAAUGCAAGAUUGAAGAUUACCAGUUAGUUCAGAUCCUUAGUCAUAGAAUAAUAUGUAUUGGUUUCUCAACAAGCUGAAUCCUUGAAAAAUCACAUUGAUCUCAUAGUCAUUUUUACGUUAUGACUGGUAUUGAUAUGUUGAGUUUGAUGAAUAUGUUUAGCCACAAGAUGCAUACGGGCUAGAGAAGCUUGCAACAGAGGAGAUAUGCAAACACUAUAAUAAAGCUUUUGGAAUUGAGUGUCGUAUUGGGAGGUUCCAUAACAUAUAUGGUCCUUUUGGGACAUGGAAAGGCUCGUUUCGGGCAGCAGACGGUAAAGAGGGAAAAUGGUUAAUUCGCGGCAGUAGCAGUCGAGUAAACGUUUCAGGCAAAGAGUUGUUGGUUUUACAUUGCAGCUUAUUAGAGGUCUGUGGUCAUUGUUAGUAGUUGUUUGCAGGUUGUUUAUGCAUAUAACAUAAUCCUUCAUGUUCAAUGUAUUUAUUUCAUUUCAUCUCACCUUUUUUAAGGCACUUAUCGGUGCUUGAGGUGGUUACUGCACUAUUUUUUAUCAUUUGUUUUUUAGUCUCAAUCUUUGAUUAAUAAGCAUGCAAUUGUUUUCUUCCUUGUGACUUGUGAAGUUCAAUGUAAUUGCUAUUCAUGUUAUUUCUGAAUGUUUAAUUAUACCUUGUAAUUUGUGAUGGUCUUGCAAAAUGGAUCAAGUGCAGCUAGAGCCUUCAUACAUUUAUGCUUUCUAUCCGUGAGUAGCACUCUUGAGAUACAUGACUUGAAUUUACUUACAUUCAUAUGAUGGAAUGAGAGUUUACUGUUUACCUGCAUAUGUUAUCUGGUGAGAUAGAUUGCAGAACUUCAAUUCAGAGGAUAAUGUAUUUGGGCAGCUGCAAUGGAAAAUUUGGGAAAAUCAGGUUAUACUUAUAGACACAUUCAUGUACAUAAAUUUAGGAAAAUCAGUUUCAUUUUGAAAGAAUAUGCAGAAAGUUUAUCUCUUGAUAUUGCUUGCUCUAUAUUGAACUUUUAAUGACUAGUGUUUUAUUUUUACUUCUUUCCAGUGCUUUUUUCCUCAUAAUUUUAUUAAUAGUGUUAGAACUCCACUCUUUCUUCUUAAUGCUGCUUAUGAUUCAUGGCAGGUAAAUUGUCUAACUUUAUCAUAAAUCAUAUAAUAUGAUAUAUAGUAGUAUUGAUCAUUAAAUUAUUUGUACUAAAACAAUCACAUUUUCAAUUGUAAUCAGAUCCAAUCUAGUUUAGCUCCUCCAUCAGCAGAUCCCCAUGGAUAUUAUUAUAGGGAAAAGAUAAAUAAUUUCAUCAAAAGUAACAAUUUAUUGAUUUUCUUUGUAUGUGUUAAUAACCUUAAAACGACAACUAAAAUGAAGCGAAGGAAAUAUAAACUAGUAUCUGCAGCUGAGUUCAGAACUUGUUCAACAAUUCAAAUAUUCUAAAUACUCAAUACAGGAAUCUCUGUUAUGGCAGUAUCAAUGCUAGGAAAAUGUUAUUGUUAGUACAUGAUGCUCAAUUUGUUGUCUUGGUUCAAGGCCUACAACAAACUUCAGGUAACAAAACAUUGUUAUACCUUAGAAUGUUAAUUUUUGUACAGAUGAUAUUUAUAAUGUUUGAUGCUUUUUCAUUUUUAUAAUCAAUGUGCAUUGGUUUAGUAUUUUUAUUGCAGUGAUAUAAGAGUCGAAGAACUGAUUGACAAAAAAACUAGUUCAUAUGUAGUGGAUAUGGUUUUCUUCAAAAUCAAGAUUCUUCACUGAUUAGGUUUUAGACUUUUAGUUGAACUAGUUUUAGAAAGGAAUAAAAGAGUCAUGUGGCUUCACUUGAGUGGCAAAGAAUACAAAAUUGAUCUAGAGUAGUAUUCCACUUUUCAUGGGACAUAAGUAAUAUUGCCAUCAUAAGGAUUUAAUUUUGGUGGUAGAUUCUAUGUUUGUGCUAGUGCCUAGGUAACUGUUUCCAUUGAUUGAGUGAUUUUAAACAUGGGUGCUAUUUUCAUCCACACAUUUCUAAAAAACCUCGAAAUUGAAAUUGUUGAAGAUGUCUUCGCUGCCAUUGACCACAUAAAUAAACAUUGAAGGCGUGUUCGAGUCCUCGAAAUUAUUUUAAUUUUUGUUAUCAUUAUCACUAAUUUUAUUAAAGGUCUUUGCUGCUUUAUUUGAUGUUUCUGCAGCGGUCACUGAAUGCAUUGUCACAGACGAUUCUGAAGUGGCUGAGACUUUCAUAUCUCAAGUUGACAGGUAUCCUUUGCUUUCAACAGAUAGUGACAUAGCAUUAUGAGAUGGAAGGGUAAUUCAGAUGCUAUUCCCAAAGUUUGAUACAUUAUUUUUAAUUUUGGGACAUAAUGUUUUCCUCAAUCAUGCAAAUAUUAAUAGUUUUUAGUUUGCUUUAUUCUCAUUUGUAUAAUCUAAAACUUUGACUAAUCCCGUCAAUUUAUAAAAGUUGAAAAGAAUGCUGAACUA